AUGCCAGAGACCCAGAAAGGGCGGAAACUUCCGGCAUUUAUGGGGCGUCAGGAUUUGAGUCAGGUGUGGAGCCCAGCUGCAGGCAAUCCUGACAGAGCCCCCCUCCAAGGGCUACGUCCUCGGAGCCCCAACAGUACCAUCAGUGGAGGCGGCGGGGCAGACGGCGGCAACCUCAGGGCUCCUGCCCUGCUGUAUCCUCCCCUUGGAGGACCCGGUCCCUCGGGCUGGCUCCCCGGCGUGGUCAGGCGUGGCGGCCCCGGUCCCUCGGGCUGGCUCCCCGGCGUGGUCAGGCGUGGCGGCCCCGGUCCCUCGGGCUGGCUCCCCGGCGUGGUCAGGCGUGGCGGCCCCGGUCCCUCGGGCUGGCUCCCCGGCGUGGUCAGGCGUGGCGGCCCCGGUCCCUCGGGCUGGCUCCCCGGCGUGGUCAGGCGUGGCGGCCCCGGACCCUCGGCCUGGCUCCCCAGCGUGGUCCCGCUUGGCGGCCCCGGACCCUCGGCCUGGCUCCCCGGCGUGGUCCCGCAUGGCGGCCCCGGACCCUCGGCCUGGCUCCCCGGCGUGGUCCCGCUUGGCGGCCCCGGACUCCCGUACCUGCACACAAUAAUCAGGGCCGAUCCAUCUGGGUACGUGUGGGCCCUGUCUCCACAUGUCCCCUCUGACACGUCUUGUGUCACCCCCUGCACCGCGCAGGGAGAUUGUCCCAGAGCCUCCGGCGACUGUUCCAGGCACCCCAGGCUGGUGCCUUCUGGGACUAGGCCCUCUUCCUGCCUGUCCCAGCUGGGUCCUCAUGCCUACCCGGGGGCUCUAUGGCGCUCCACCCCUCUGGAGGCAGACGCAGGCCCAUGCCUGGCCCGCCCUCCUCACUGGCUACCGGAGGACCCAGCUCCAUCGCUUCCCCACCUCCCCUCCCCUCAGGAGGAGUCCCCAACCCGAACUGCACCCCCCCCAAAAUUUUCUUUGGGGGAGCACCCCCCCCGGCUGGACUUAGGGGUACCUUGGGGCUUGUCCACCUCGCCUUGGACCAGCACAUUCGGGUCAGGAACCUCCUCCCUGGGGUUCGGCUCCGCGGCUGGGUCGCCAUCUGGUGGACACAAAGAGGGGAAUUGGGGGCGACAUACGGACACAUAUGCCACACAGACACACACAGACAGAGACAGACAGAAGAGAGGGUCGUCUGGCUCCCUCUCUGGGCUCUCCGGGACCUCCUCAGGGGGCACAGCCAGGAUCUCGGGAGGAGCGACCUUCUCGUCGCCCACCAGUGCUGGGUCUUCUUGCCCCGGAUCUUGA
rnacentral:lncRNA from 1 species